GACGAACGCUGGCGGCGUGCUUAACACAUGCAAGUCGAACGGAAAGGCCCUGCUUUUGUGGGGUGCUCGAGUGGCGAACGGGUGAGUAACACGUGAGUAACCUGCCCUUGACUUUGGGAUAACUUCAGGAAACUGGGGCUAAUACCGGAUAGGAGCUCCUGCUGCAUGGUGGGGGUUGGAAAGUUUCGGCGGUUGGGGAUGGACUCGCGGCUUAUCAGCUUGUUGGUGGGGUAGUGGCUUACCAAGGCUUUGACGGGUAGCCGGCCUGAGAGGGUGACCGGCCACAUUGGGACUGAGAUACGGCCCAGACUCCUACGGGAGGCAGCAGUGGGGAAUAUUGCACAAUGGGCGGAAGCCUGAUGCAGCAACGCCGCGGGCGGGAUGACGGCCUUCGGGUUGUAAACCGCUUACGCCUGUGACGAAGCGUGAGUGACGGUAAUGGGUAAAGAAGCACCGGCUAACUAC
rnacentral:rRNA from 1 species